CACGACGUUAAAUGCGGCGCUUUAUGGGAGACAACCCAUGUUUUCUUCAUUUAGUUUAAUUUUGCAAUUUUAAUUUUUAGGUAAGUUUUUAUUUUAUUUUUUUAUCAUUCUACCAAGUUUCAUAAUUUUUGGGAAUUAAUUUGAACAGGAUUUAGAAUGUUUAAGUGGCUGCACAGUUAAAAAAAAAAUGCACAAAAGCUGCUUUAGGUUGAUAAGUGGACUGUUUCAUAAUGCAAAAAAAAAAAAAAAAAAAAAAAAACCUAUAGUGGGCAGUUGCCAACAAUGCAGCGAGCCAGGUAAGUAGUGUAGAAUUCUGAGUUUUAAAGGAAACACCUCUUGCCUUUUCUUUCAGUUCCUCUUAAACGCAAGAGGCUUUUGUUUUCUCCACUCAACGCCCUUCCCUUGUGAUGACACCAUGUCCAGUUGGUUCCUUCACCCAUUGACGAAAUUCAGCUUUCACAUUUGGGGAAUGGGAGUGUUAUCUGCUGAAGCUAAAGACCUAAAUAUGGGAAAGAAGUCACCUCCUUUGGCCAAAUAGAAUGGAGUACAGUUAAUGCCAACAGGCAAUUUUUUUUUGCAAAAGGCUAGGCUUGCUUCACUGAAGAAGGGCAAGGCAAAGCACAUGUCAAGGAUGCAUGAUUCUUCGAAGAUACCAUCUUUUUCAGGGAGUCCCUCUAACUUGAGCUUUAUUUUAUUUAAUUGCGUUGAGGACAAUGCAAUAUUUUUAGUUGGGGGUGAGACUUCAUUUUGAUGGAUAUUUGGUGUUGGGAUGUGAUUUUUGCUCCUUGGCCAAUUUUGGCUUGCUUGGUACCAACACAUUUAAACCUUGACAUGUGAAUUCUUGAUUUGAAAAAGAAAAAUGAUUGAAUAAGGAUUCUUGUUGUGACUUUUAGAUUCAAUAUUUGGCUCUUUUGUUCACUAAAUGGUCUCUUUAGACUAUAAGUGACUUUCUUUGAGUUCAUUUGUUUCAAUUGGGUUUCGGAUAUAUAUUCUACUUGAAUUUUCAUGUGCCAUGUGUGGUGAGGUUUUUGUGAGUUAUUUUGCAUUACUUGUGGUCAAGAACUUGCCCGGAAUGUGUUUCAAGGCAAAAUUCUACGUUACACUUGGUUUGAAAAAUGAUGUUAGGCCUUCUUUGGAUCGUUUUUGCCUUAAAUUUCCUACCCUUGCAUAUUUUCCCUAGUCAAACCCUUUUGAGUCUUUAACCUUCUCUUUGGCAACCAUGUUACAAGCUUUAACCUUUUGUUCUUUAUUGAUCUAUCUUUUGGCAUCUCACCUCCCUAAGUGCUUUGAAAGUGUAAACAUAGGCUAAAAUCCUAAGCUUGGGGGUGACGGUUGGAAAAGUUGUGAUGUGGAAUUUGCUUAGAGGUUAAAGGGUAAAAACCAAAAAAAAAAAAAAUAGUGGAACCCUCCUUGGUUUUUGAAGGAAAAAAAAAAAGGGUAAGAAAGAUGAAAAAGGGAAGGAAUAAUAAGAGUUGUGAAUAAAGCGGAGACUAGUUGGUGAAAUGAAAAAUGAAAAAUGAAGAAAGGGGUGGAAAAGUUUCAAAGGAAGUGUGCUUCGAAUGUUGAAAAUUGUAGUGCUUAGGGAGGUUUUGAGUCACUUUUACCCAAAUUAUGCCCUACCUUAACCAAAAGCCUACAUUACAACCCUUUAAGUCCUAAUUGAUUUUGAACCAAGUGUGUCUAUGUUAGUAGAGAAAUACAUGGAGGCAAGCUUAUGGUACUAGUGUGCAUUUGAACAUCUUUGAGAGAGAGAGAGAGAAGAGUUAAUUCUUUCUAUUUGAUAUCCCAUUUGUGUUUUGAAUUAUAUUUUCUAAGCGUGGGAUUCUCUUUUGAGUGUGAGGGCAUAUGAGAAUUUAAGUUGUGAAUUUGUUCCAUUUUCCAAUUGAGAGGAAUGAACAAAAGAAAGUUAUUUUGUGAUAAUGAGGCAAAUUUUGAAGCUUUAGUGUCUUGACUUGAUUACUACUUUGAUUAACUUGGUGUUUGAGCACUUGAAAUGAAACUGAAGUUUUUGAGAAGAAGUUAGUGAUUCAUAUGUUUUGGAUUAAUUGGUGGUACUAAUCAAAGUCUUGUUUGUGCUUAAAGUAGACUUUUUGACUUGGUAUGAUGUUGGUGCACUAUUGAGUCGAUUCCUUAGAAGGAGAUUGUACGUUUUGAAUUGCUUGAGGACAAGCAAUAGUUUAAGUUUGGGGUUUGAUAAGUUGGUAUUUUACCAACCUAUCUCUUCUUUAAUCUUAUAUUUUUGCUAUGUAUGAUUAAGAAAAUAGUGCAUUUAAUAUCAUUUACAUCUAUUUUACAGAUUUUGUGUGAUUUAGAAGUGAUCGGAAGAAACCAAGUGAAAAUAAAGUCAAAAAGAGGUCAAAUUGGACAGAUUUGCAAAACUGUCAAAACUGGACAGUUUUGCAAAAAGGGGACAGAUUUGCAAAAACAGGCAGAACUACAAAAACUGAAAUCUGGGGCAUAUUUUGUCAUUUUUUGGACUUGGAAAAAUUAGGCAACUAUAAAAGCAAGACUUGGUGAAAUUAUUGAUCAUCUUUGGCAUUUCAACACAAGUCUUGGAGAGAUUUGGAGGCACACAAUGAGAAAUUCUUUACCCAUUUCUUCAUCUCUUGCUAUUUAUUGAAUAUUUAUGUGUGUAGUAUUUCAUUUCAAUACUUGAACCUUGUUUAUGGAAGUAUACAUUGUUUAAGUUUGGAUUGAAUCUCUUGUUUUGCUUAUGUGUUGAAUGAUUUUAUAAUUAAUAGAAAUGAGUUAAUGUUGUUUUAA